rnacentral:lncRNA from 1 species
AAACUAACAGACAGAGCAAGGGCUGGGAAGAGGGAAGAGGACUUCACAUUAAUUAAUGAACACUGAGAGCCCACAGCUGCUCUGUUCAGACAACAAGCCACAGAUCUGCUUCAAAGAGUCGUGUGGCUCUUUGUCCUGCACACUUCAUUCAUGCAGCCACAUCUCGAGUUGUGUGAUUUGGUUUCAUCCAGGUGGAAGCGUGAAUCACUUCACAACAGGCUACAGCUGCUGAGACACCCUUCCAUUAACCCCAGGGAUUGCAAGCCUAAGUCUAGAGUCUAAAACUGCCCAAGUGCAUCGCAGACAAACUGCCAGCAACAGGGACAACAGCAGGAUGGGGACCAGCCAGAGGGUAGGAAAUAGGGGUUGCCUUUGGUGAGCAAAGUUGGUUGCACUGUAUGCUGAUUGAUGUUUCGUAACGUCUUCUGGACUGAGCAGUUGAACGAACAACAGCGUGUGGUUUCAAAUAUUGAAACGCUAAACUUUGUGGACAGUUCAAACGGAGGGAAGUAGACUCCUCUUCCUGGAAAUAAAACUCUCCUCUCUUGUUCUCA